AGAGUUUGAUCCUGGCUCAGGACGAACGCUGGCGGCGUGCCUAAUACAUGCAAGUCGAGCGAAUCGAUGGGAGCUUGCUCCCUGAGAUUAGCGGCGGACGGGUGAGUAACACGUGGGCAACCUGCCUAUAAGACUGGGAUAACUUCGGGAAACCGGAGCUAAUACCGGAUACGUUCUUUUCUCGCAUGAGAGAAGAUGGAAAGACGGUUUACGCUGUCACUUAUAGAUGGGCCCGCGGCGCAUUAGCUAGUUGGUGAGGUAAUGGCUCACCAAGGCGACGAUGCGUAGCCGACCUGAGAGGGUGAUCGGCCACACUGGGACUGAGACACGGCCCAGACUCCUACGGGAGGCAGCAGUAGGGAAUCUUCCGCAAUGGACGAAAGUCUGACGGAGCAACGCCGCGUGAGUGAUGAAGGCUUUCGGGUGUAAAACUCUGUUGUUAGGGAAGAACAAGUACGAGAGUAACUGCUCGUACCUUGACGGUACCUAACCAGAAAGCCACGGCUAACUACGUGCCAGCAGCCGCGGUAAUACGUAGGUGGCAAGCGUUAUCCGGAAUUAUUGGGCGUAAAGCGCGCGCAGGCGGU
rnacentral:rRNA from 1 species